rnacentral:lncRNA from 1 species
AGAUCAGCCCUGGGGUUCAGAGGGAUCCUGACAGCUACUCCUCAAGAUCCUCUCUGUUGUGAUUCAUCCCCCCGGGGCCCUACAGUUUCUCCUUCCUGACUCUUACAUUUCUUUGGAUGGCAUCAUUAUUUACCUGUCUCCUCCCAUAGUUAGGUGCCAAGCACUGUGGAUUCUGCCUCUCAGUGUCCAGACACCCAUUUUCCUUCCCACUGUUCCUUCCCCAUGGAGAAGCCUGUGGCUGGCUGACAGCAGAGAGAGAUGCUCAACUUGGAGAAGGUGUUACCUGGGCCAGGUGGGGAAGGUUUGUUUGCAGAGCAAAGAAGUGAAGGAAGUAUUAACCCUUUGCAUGGCCUCCUGAGAAUCCGACAAGACCCUAUUCAACGUGAAAAAGAUGAGGAUGAAGACCUUUAUUAUGAUCCACUUCCAAGUAAUGAACACACUGGAGAAAGUCAGACAGUCAAAACAAUGUCCCAGACUCCGUGAAGUUCCUGGGUAGAGAAGGAGACAGACAUAUACCAUACCUAAUAAUUGGAUGUCCGAGAGAAUGAGAGAAUGGCAGAAAGAACUUUAGAGCAUGGGUAUGAUGGCUAGAGCUUGAGCAGCCAUUGUGGACAUCAGAUGAACUUGAAAGUGAAAACUAUGAGCUGAAUACGACAAAGCAAACAGAUAGAAAACUGGAUUCAUUAUGACAUUGCAAAGCUGCCAGACCAGCUCUAGUCUGCUUCCCCCUAAUCUUCCUUACUAAGAGAGAGAAAUAAACUUCCAUCUUCUU